GUUUUAGUUAAAUUUAUGUAGAAAUAUAAUAAAUUUGAGUUGCGGUAGCAAAAUAAGUUUUGAAC
rnacentral:tRNA from 1 species